rnacentral:lncRNA from 1 species
CCGUGCCCCUGCUCGCGCUGCAGCCCGUGGAAGGGUUCCGUCCAGCGUAUCCUUCAGAUCUUGCUGUAGGCCUCUGGUGUCUGUGCGCGCGCGGCAGGGGCGGCGGCGGCGACGGCCGGAGGUGUACGGUCAGCGGGUUGCGGAGGAUCGUGCGGGUCGCAAAGGGAAGCCGAGUGCUCCUGCGGCUCCCAGACUGCAACCAGGGUCUUGCUCUGUCACCCAGGCUAGAGUGUAGUGGCGCGAUCACGGCUCACUGCGGCCUCGACCUCCCAGGCUCAAGCAAUCUUCCCACCUCAGCCUCCCAAGUAGCUGGGACUAUAGUUGCUUCCUCUACUGAAGUCUUGAAACCCCUGAAAGUCAUCCCUGAGGUUUGAAGUUAACUUCUUCUACACCCUGUUAAUGUUGAUAUUUUGACCUCCUUCCAUGAAUCACAAAUGUUCUUAAUGGCAUCUAGAAUGAACAUGCAUCAUUAUUAGAACCAUCACCCUGCAGCUAGCUUGGAUACCAUUAAAAGGGCUCAUCAGCUGCAAACGGAUUAAAGUAUCUGAUACUCGGGAAGACAGAGUUUCAGGGUUUCUACCUGGAGCUACACCCUCAGGAAGCCCCUCCUUGGCCUCCCUGCACCCAGUCCCAUCCCAACCAGUCACAUCUUGGGCUGUGCGUGGUGUUUCUUGGAAACUGGAACACAGACUCCUCCAGCAGCUCCACAGGUCCCUUGUCCUCAAUGAGCAGAAGACUACAGGAGCUGGCUACUGAAGAGGCUGUCCAAGUAAUAGAGCACCUUCUUGGCCCUGCUUAGCACAUUUACUGCAGAGCUGGAUGCUACUUAUUUGUGCUCACCACCUUCAGGGACUGCAGAGAGAUUUGUCAGACCCUACUUCACUAAGGGCCACCCUCUAAGGAUCUCCAGAAGAGGCUGCCCAUAGAGAGAAGUGGCCUGCCUAGGGUCUCCACUUCCUCAGGUCCUACCCGGACACCUCUAGGGCUGAGGGGAUCAGUAUCUCUUCACCUGCCUGUAAUCCACAUACCAAGUGGAAGAAUCUGCCUGCUAUUUUUUGUUUGUUUGUUUGUUUUGGCGGGAAGAGUUUUAACUACUGCUGUAACUCCUUUAGUAGCUAUGGAACUGUUGAGGAUUUCUUUUUCUUCUUGAGUCGAUUUUGGUAAGAUAACAGUUUUCUAGGAGUUGGUCCAUUUUGUCUGCAUUUUCAAAUUCAUUGGCAUAAAGUUUCCUUUUUAUUCUGUGCUGUGUAUGAACUGUAACAAUGUCUCCUUUUUCAUUACUGAUAUUGGUUAUUUGUGCCUUCUCACUUUUUUUCUUGAUCAAUCUCACCAGAGGUUUAUCUAUUUUAUUAGUCUUUUCAAAGAACCAACUUUUGGCUUUGUUGCUCCUCUCUAUUGUAUCUUUGUUUUCUAUUUCUUUAAUUUCUGCUCUUAUCUUUUUUGAUCUCCUUCCUUCCACAUUUUUUGGGUUUAUUCUGUUGUUCUUUUUCUAAUUUAACUGGACAUUGAGCUCAUUAGUUUUCAUUCUUUCCCAUUUUCUAAUUUGUGCAUUUAAGGAUAUAAUUUCCCUCUAACUCCUGCUUCUCCAUAAGUUUAGAUAUGUAGUAUUUUCAUUAUUGCUCAGUUAUAAGUACUUCAUUUCUAUCAAGGUUACUUCUUUGACCUGUAAGUUAUAUAGAAAUGUGUUUUUAGAUUUCCAAAUGUUUGGGGAUUUAAAAUUUUAUCUCUUUGUUAUUGAAAUCUGUCUUAAUUGCAUUAUGGUCAGAGGAUGUGGUUUGUGUGACAACAACUCUGAAAUUUUUUAGACUUGUUUUAUGGCUUAGUAUGUGACCAAUAUUUUUGAAUGCUUCCUGUGUGCUAAUUUAUAAGAAUGUGUGUUCUCUAAUUGUUGAAUACAGAGAUCUACAUAUGUCUAUUAUCAAGUUUGUGAACUAUUGUUCAAUUUUUACUUACCUAUACUGAUUUUUUUGGUCAUUAUCUACUGAUAAUUGAAAGAGGUGCGUUAAUGUUCAACUGUAAUGGUGGAUUUGGCAAUUUCUCCUUGUAAUUCUAUCUCGUUUCUUGCUUUAUAUAUUUUGAGGGUGUUCAUUAGGAAUAUUCAAAUUAAAAAUUGU